rnacentral:tRNA from 1 species
GGUAAUGGCUCAGUGGUAGAGUGUUCGCCGAGCAUGUGCAAGGCCCUGUGUUCGAUCCUCAGCACCA